AACGCACCUUGCGCCCUUUGGUAUUCCGAAGGGCAUGCCUGUUUGAGUGUCAUUAAAUUCUCAAACCUUGAUCAGUUUUGCGACUGACUUUCAAGGCUUUGGAUGUGGGAGUCUGCUGGAACUCUUUUGGUUCAGCUCUCCUCAAAUGCAUUAGCGGUUACUUGAUCCCCUUUCCUUGGUGUGAUAAUUAUCUACGCCUUUGAAAUGAUCAGCAUUGUAUCAGCUUCUAACCGUCCAUUGACUUGGACAACUACUUAAUUGACCAUUUGACCUCAAAUCAGGUAGGACUACCCGCUGAACUUAA
rnacentral:misc_RNA from 1 species